rnacentral:rRNA from 1 species
GGGUGCAGCAGGCGCGAAAACCUUGCAAUACACGAAAGUGUGACAGGGUCAUCCCGAGUGCCGACCGCUGAGGUUGGCUUUUACCCAGUCUAGAAAGCUGGGGGAAUAAGGAGAGGGCAAGUCUGGUGUCAGCCGCCGCGGUAAUACCAGCUCUCCGAGUGGUGUGGACGUUUAUUGGGCCUAAAGCAUCCGUAGCUGGCUGAACAAGUCCCCUGUUAAACCCACCGAUUUAAUCGUUGGUCUGCGGGGGAUACUGCUCGGCUAGGGGACGAGAGAGGCAGACGGUAUUCCCGGGGUAGGGGUGAAAUCCUAUAAUCCCGAGAAGACCACCAGUGGCGAAGGCUGUCUGCUAGAACGCGCCCGACGGUGAGGGAUGAAAGCUGGGGGAGCGAACCGGAUUAGAUACCCGGGUAGUCCCAGCUGUAAACGAUGCAGACUAGGUGUUUGGACGGCCACGUGCCGUUCUAGUGCCGCAGGGAAGCUGUUAAGUCUGCCGCCUGGGGAGUACGAUCGCAAGAUUGAAACUUAAAGGAAUUGGCGGGGGAGCAC